UCUUCGGACUGAUGACGACCGGCGCACGGGUGCGUAACGCGUAUACAACUUGCCUUUGACAGGAGGAUAGCCCAGGGAAACCCGGAUUAAUACUCCGUAACAUGAAUGAAUCGCAUGGUUUAUUCAUCAAAGUUUCGACGGUCAAAGAUGGGUAUGCGUCCCAUUAGCUGGUUGGUGAGGUAACGGCUCACCAAGGCGAUGAUGGGUAGGGGUUCUGAGAGGAUGAUCCCCCACACUGGUACUGAGACACGGACCAUACUCCUACGGGAGGCAGCAGUGAGGAAUAUUGGUCAAUGGACGCAAGUCUGAACCAGCCAUGCCGCGUGCAGGAAGACGGCCUUAUGGGUUGUAAACUGCUUUUUUACGAGAAUAAAGGUAGGUACGUGUACUUAUUUGAAGGUAUCGUAGGAAUAAGCACCGGCUAACUCCGUG
rnacentral:rRNA from 1 species